rnacentral:rRNA from 1 species
UACGAAGGGGGCUAGCGUUGCUCGGAAUCACUGGGCGUAAAGGGUGCGUAGGCGGGUCUUUAAGUCAGGGGUGAAAUCCUGGAGCUCAACUCCAGAACUGCCUUUGAUACUGAAGAUCUUGAGUUCGGGAGAGGUGAGUGGAACUGCGAGUGUAGAGGUGAAAUUCGUAGAUAUUCGCAAGAACACCAGUGGCGAAGGCGGCUCACUGGCCCGAUACUGACGCUGAGGCACGAAAGCGUGGGGAGCAAACAGGAUUAGA